GCCCUUCCUGGCAACAUCAAAAGCCUUUCCUACAACAAGGAGAUCCUUCCCUUCCCACUUGCUCUCAGGGUCUCCAGGAUCAGUGCCUGAUGCCUAUGAUACCCCCAGCACCCCAGGAAGAGGGCUCUGCUGGUGACAUGCUCUGCAAUAUUCAGUCCCUAAUUCACAUGGGAGGUAAGGAAGGGACAUGGUAAAUGUACCAUAUUCUCCAUCAUGAGCAGAGAACACACAAGUGUUACAUGAUCCCAAGCCUACAUCCUCAGUCCCAGAGUGAGCAGAAAGGAAGGAUGUGAAAGUCUCAGAUAUAUUAGAAAGGAUUAGAUAUUGCAACAAGAAAAAUCACUUCAAGUCCUUUGGAGCCAUCCUGAGAGUCACACCAAGACAACUGUGUGGAAGUACAACAAAGGGAGAAGUCACCCCACCCCCCCAGAGCUGCAGGGACAGCUCGGAGAUCAGCUUGAUGCACCUCCACCCACCACUUGCGGACUAGUUGGCUCAGCGAUUUGAGGGACUGGGGAAAGCUUACAUGUUUUUGGAGCUUACAUAUGGAUGCAAACACUGUUUUGUUCAUAAACAACUUAUAAACCAACUGUUACCAGUGUAAUAAAAAUUGAA